GACGAACGCUGGCGGCGUGCCUAAUACAUGCAAGUAGAACGCACAGUUUAUACCGUAGCUUGCUACACCAUAGACUGUGAGUUGCGAACGGGUGAGUAACGCGUAGGUAACCUGCCUAUUAGAGGGGGAUAACUAUUGGAAACGAUAGCUAAUACCGCAUAAUAGUAUGUAACACAUGUUAGAUGCUUGAAGGAUGCAAUUGCAUCGCUAGUAGAUGGACCUGCGUUGUAUUAGCUAGUAGGUAGGGUAAAGGCCUACCUAGGCAACGAUACAUAGCCGACCUGAGAGGGUGAUCGGCCACACUGGGACUGAGACACGGCCCAGACUCCUACGGGAGGCAGCAGUAGGGAAUCUUCGGCAAUGGGGGGAACCCUGACCGAGCAACGCCGCGUGAGUGAAGAAGGUUUUCGGAUCGUAAAGCUCUGUUGUUAAGGAAGAACGAGUGUGAGAAUGGAAAGUUCAUACUGUGACGGUA
rnacentral:rRNA from 1 species